GUUAAAACAUACAAUAGUUAAUUUAAAGUCAAGCAACAUAUGUAAAAAGUUAUAUGCAGGAAAAUUAGGUCACUAGUUGGUUUGUUAGGGUAAUUAGCAUGAUCAAGAGGAUCAUAUUUUCUAAAUAAAUUCUGACGAAAGCUCCAUAUGUGAGUCUCUGUCUCACGCAAUUACGCGUCUCUUUGGAGACUUGGUUUAAGCCUUGGCCUUUUUUCAUCUCAUUUUUGCUCUCUGAGAGCAACUGAUAUUAUAUCAUGGAGUGGGUCUCUCUGGAACUCACACGAAUUUCCUGCAGAGAUCUCAAAGCCUUCAAUUUCUUCCAGAAGCUAUCGGUCUAUGCAGAGGUCUACGCUUCUAAUGAUGAAUUAACGAAGAAGAAGAAGAAGA
rnacentral:misc_RNA from 1 species